UACAGAGGUCUCAAGCGUUGUUCGGAUUCAUUGGGCGUAAAGGGUGCGUAGGCGGCGCGGUAAGUCGGGUGUGGAAUCUCGGGGCUUAACUCCGAAACUGCAUUCGAUACUGCCGUGCUUGAGGACUGGAGAGGAGACUGGAAUUUACGGUGUAGCGGUGAAAUGCGUAGAUAUCGUAAGGAAGACCAGUGGCGAAGGCGGGCCUCUGGACAGUUCCUGACGCUGAGGCACGAAGGCCAGGGGAGCAAACGGG
rnacentral:rRNA from 1 species